GAUGAAGAACGUAGUGAAAUGCGAUAAUUAAUGUGAAUUGCGGAAUUCAGUGAAUCAUCGAGUCUUUGAACGCACAUUGCGCCCGCUGGUAUUCCGGCGGGCAUGCCUGUUCGAGCGUCAUUUCAACCCUCAAGCCCCCGGGUUUGGUGUUGGGGAUCGGCUCUGCCCUUCUGGGCGGUGCCGCCCCCGAAAUACAUUGGCGGUCUCGCUGCAGCCUCCAUUGCGUAGUAGCUAACACCUCGCAACUGGAACGCGGCGCGGCCAUGCCGUAAAACCCCAACUUCUGAAUGUUGACCUCGGAUCAGGUAGGAAUACCCGCUGAACUUAAGCAUAUCAAUAAGCGGAGGA
rnacentral:misc_RNA from 1 species